GAGGUGUUGGUAACGUCCGGUCUGCCAGUCGAACCACCUCGGUGGUCAGGGAACCCGGUGAGAGUCCGGGACUGACGCGCAGCGGUAAGGGUGACGGGCGGGACACGCACGGCCACUGGGCUCGCAGCUCCGCAUCUGCGGUGGGCCUGGGAAGGCGUCCCGUACCGGUGGAUCCCGAGUCCGAAGACCUGCUGGCCCUCACGGCACGAG
rfam:Nocardioides sp. Root1257 contig_1, whole genome shotgun sequence.